UGGGGAAUAUUGCACAAUGGGCGCAAGCCUGAUGCAGCCAUGCCGCGUGUGUGAAGAAGGCCUUCGGGUUGUAAAGCACUUUCAGCGGGGAGGAAGGCGUUAAGGUUAAUAACCUUGGCGAUUGACGUUACCCGCAGAAGAAGCACCGGCUAACUCCGUGCCAGCAGCCGCGGUAAUACGGAGGGUGCAAGCGUUAAUCGGAAUUACUGGGCGUAAAGCGCACGCAGGCGGUCUGUCAAGUCGGAUGUGAAAUCCCCGGGCUCCACCUGGGAACUGCAUUCGAAACUGGCAGGCUAGAGUCUUGUAGAGGGGGGUAGAAUUCCAGGUGUAGCGGUGAAAUGCGUAGAGAUCUGGAGGAAUACCGGUGGCGAAGGCGGCCCCCUGGGCAAAGACAGACGCUCAGGUGCGAAAGCGUGGGGAGCAAACAGG
rnacentral:rRNA from 1 species